CCUACGGGAGGCAGCAGUGGGGAAUAUUGCACAAUGGGCGCAAGCCUGAUGCAGCGACGCCGCGUGAGGGAUGACGGCCUUCGGGUUGUAAACCUCUUUCAGUAGGGAAGAAGCGGAAGUGACGGUACCUGCAGAAGAAGCGCCGGCUAACUACGUGCCAGCAGCCGCGGUAAUACGUAGGGCGCAAGCGUUAUCCGGAAUUAUUGGGCGUAAAGAGCUCGUAGGCGGUUUGUCGCGUCUGCCGUGAAAGUCCGGGGCUCAACUCCGGAUCUGCGGUGGGUACGGGCAGACUAGAGUGAUGUAGGGGAGACUGGAAUUCCUGGUGUAGCGGUGAAAUGCGCAGAUAUCAGGAGGAACACCGAUGGCGAAGGCAGGUCUCUGGGCAUUAACUGACGCUGAGGAGCGAAAGCAUGGGGAGCGAACAGGAUUAGAUACCCUGGUAGUCCAUGCCGUAAACGUUGGGCACUAGGUGUGGGGGACAUUCCACGUUUUCCGCGCCGUAGCUAACGCAUUAAGUGCCCGCCUGGGGAGGUACGGCCGCGAGACGUAACGUACGAAGAAGUUAGUACGCGUUGAGAGNGCCGACGGACGACGACGAGGGAGAGG
rnacentral:rRNA from 1 species